rnacentral:rRNA from 1 species
GACGAACGCUGGCGGCGUGCCUAAUACAUGCAAGUAGAACGCACAGUUUAUACCGUAGCUUGCUACACCAUAGACUGUGAGUUGCGAACGGGUGAGUAACGCGUAGGUAACCUGCCUGGUAGCGGGGGAUAACUAUUGGAAACGAUAGCUAAUACCGCAUAAUAUUGAUUAUUGCAUGAUAAUUGAUUGAAAGAUGCUAUUGCAUCACUACCAGAUGGACCUGCGUUGUAUUAGCUAGUAGGGGAGGUAACGGCUAACCUAGGCGACGAUACAUAGCCGACCUGAGAGGGUGAUCGGCCACACUGGGACUGAGACACGGCCCAGACUCCUACGGGAGGCAGCAGUAGGGAAUCUUCGGCAAUGGACGAAAGUCUGACCGAGCAACGCCGCGUGAGUGAAGAAGGUUUUCGGAUCGUAAAGCUCUGUUGUAAGAGAAGAACGGGUGUGAGAGUGGAAAGUUCACACUGUGACGGUAUCUUACCAGAAAGGGACGGCUAACUACGUG